rnacentral:lncRNA from 1 species
CUGGUGAAAAACUGCAUUGCUCUAAAAACUAUUGAUCUAAAAUUAAAUUUUACCAAAACAGCACAGAAUUUAAAUUGUGUAUCAGUACUACAUGAUUUGGAGACAGGGUGCGACCUCUUGUUUGCAUGAUAAAGUUGUAAGUCACUGGCGUGUAUGGAAUAUGACCGUAAACGUACCUUUUGCUGCAUGGUGAGGUCGUAAGUCACUGGCGUGUAUGAAAUAAGACCGUAAACUUGACCUGCUACAAAUCAGAUUGUUAACAUUUGGUCUGG